UACGUAGGGUGCAAGCGUUGUUCGGAUUUACUGGGCGUAAAGGGCGCGUAGGCGGCAAUUCAAGUCAGCUGUGAAAUCUCCGGGCUUAACUCGGAACGGUCAGCUGAUACUGCUUUGCUAGAGUGCAGAAGGGGCAAUCGGAAUUCUUGGUGUAGCGGUGAAAUGCGUAGAUAUCAAGAGGAACACCUGAGGUGAAGACGGGUUGCUGGGCUGACACUGACGCUGAGGCGCGAAAGCUAGGGUAGCAAACGGG
rnacentral:rRNA from 1 species